rnacentral:rRNA from 1 species
ACGAUAUGCUUUGGGUAGCUGUAAGUAAGCGUUGAUCCAGAGAUUUCCGAAUGGGGGAACCCAACAUGAGUGAUGUCAUGUUAUCGACAUGUGAAUUCAUAGCAUGUCAGAAGGCAGACCCGGAGAACUGAAACAUCUUAGUACCCGGAGGAAGAGAAAGAAAAAUCGAUUCCCUGAGUAGCGGCGAGCGAAACGGGAAGAGCCCAAACCAACAAGCUUGCUUGUUGGGGUUGUAGGACACUCUAUACGGAGUUACAAAAGAACAUGUUAGACGAAUCAUCUGGAAAGAUGAAUCAAAGAAGGUAAAAAUCCUGUAGUCGAAAACAUAUUCUCUCUUGAGUGGAUCCUGAGUACGACGGAGCACGUGAAAUUCCGUCGGAAUCUAGGAGGACCAUCUCCUAAGGCUAAAUACUCUCUAGUGACCGAUAGUGAACCAGUACCGUGAGGGAAAGGUGAAAAGUACCCCGGAAGGGGAGUGAAAGAGAACUUGAAACCGUGUGCUUACAAGUAGUCAGAGCCCGUUAAUGGGUGAUGGCGUGCCUUUUGUAGAAUGAACCGGCGAGUUACGAUCUGAUGCAAGGUUAAGCAGCGAAUGUGGAGCCGUAGCGAAAGCGAGUCUGAAUAGGGCGUUGAGUAUUUGGUCGUAGACCCGAAACCAGGUGAUCUACCCUUGGUCAGGUUGAAGUUCAGGUAACACUGAAUGGAGGACCGAACCGACUUACGUUGAAAAGUGAGCGGAUGAACUGAGGGUAGCGGAGAAAUUCCAAUCGAACUUGGAGAUAGCUGGUUCUCUCCGAAAUAGCUUUAGGGCUAGCCUCAAGUGAUGAUUAUUGGAGGUAGAGCACUGUUUGGACGAGGGGCCCCUCUCGGGUUACCGAAUUCAGACAAACUCCGAAUGCCAAUCAAUUUAACUUGGGAGUCAGAACAUGGGUGAUAAGGUCCGUGUUCGAAAGGGAAACAGCCCAGACCACCAGCUAAGGUCCCAAAAUAUAUGUUAAGUGGAAAAGGAUGUGGCGUUGCCCAGACAACUAGGAUGUUGGCUUAGAAGCAGCCAUCAUUUAAAGAGUGCGUAAUAGCUCACUAGUCGAGUGACACUGCGCCGAAAAUGUACCGGGGCUAAACAUAUUACCGAAGCUGUGGAUUGUCCGUAGGACAAUGGUAGGAGAGCGUUCUAAGGGCGUUGAAGCAUGAUCGCAAGGACAUGUGGAGCGCUUAGAAGUGAGAAUGCCGGUGUGAGUAGCGAAAGACGGGUGAGAAUCCCGUCCACCGAUUGACUAAGGUUUCCAGAGGAAGGCUCGUCCGCUCUGGGUUAGUCGGGUCCUAAGCUGAGGCCGACAGGCGUAGGCGAUGGAUAACAGGUUGAUAUUCCUGUACCACCUAGUAUCGUUUUAAUCGAUGGGGGGACGCAGUAGGAUAGGCGAAGCGUGCUGUUGGAGUGCACGUCCAAGCAGUAAGGCUGAGUGUUAGGCAAAUCCGGCACUCGUAAGGCUGAGUUGUGAUGGGGAGAGGAAAUUGUUUCCUCGAGUCGUUGAUUUCACACUGCCGAGAAAAGCCUCUAGAUAGAUAACAGGUGCCCGUACCGCAAACCGACACAGGUAGUCAAGAUGAGAAUUCUAAGGUGAGCGAGCGAACUCUCGUUAAGGAACUCGGCAAAAUGACCCCGUAACUUCGGGAGAAGGGGUGCUCUUUAGGGUUCACGCCCAGAAGAGCCGCAGUGAAUAGGCCCAAGCGACUGUUUAUCAAAAACACAGGUCUCUGCUAAACCGUAAGGUGAUGUAUAGGGGCUGACGCCUGCCCGGUGCUGGAAGGUUAAGAGGAGUGGUUAGCUUCUGCGAAGCUACGAAUCGAAGCCCCAGUAAACGGCGGCCGUAACUAUAACGGUCCUAAGGUAGCGAAAUUCCUUGUCGGGUAAGUUCCGACCCGCACGAAAGGCGUAACGAUUUGGGCACUGUCUCAACGAGAGACUCGGUGAAAUCAUAGUACCUGUGAAGAUGCAGGUUACCCGCGACAGGACGGAAAGACCCCGUGGAGCUUUACUGUAGCCUGAUAUUGAAAUUCGGCACAGCUUGUACAGGAUAGGUAGGAGCCAUUGAAACGUGAGCGCUAGCUUACGUGGAGGCGUUGGUGGGAUACUACCCUAGCUGUGUUGGCUUUCUAACCCGCACCACUUAUCGUGGUGGGAGACAGUGUCAGGCGGGCAGUUUGACUGGGGCGGUCGCCUCCUAAAAGGUAACGGAGGCGCUCAAAGGUUCCCUCAGAAUGGUUGGAAAUCAUUCACAGAGUGUAAAGGCAUAAGGGAGCUUGACUGCGAGACCUACAAGUCGAGCAGGGUCGAAAGACGGACUUAGUGAUCCGGUGGUUCCGCAUGGAAGGGCCAUCGCUCAACGGAUAAAAGCUACCCCGGGGAUAACAGGCUUAUCUCCCCCAAGAGUUCACAUCGACGGGGAGGUUUGGCACCUCGAUGUCGGCUCAUCGCAUCCUGGGGCUGUAGUCGGUCCCAAGGGUUGGGCUGUUCGCCCAUUAAAGCGGUACGCGAGCUGGGUUCAGAACGUCGUGAGACAGUUCGGUCCCUAUCCGUCGUGGGCGUAGGAAAUUUGAGAGGAGCUGUCCUUAGUACGAGAGGACCGGGAUGGACAUACCUCUGGUGUACCAGUUGUCGUGCCAACGGCAUAGCUGGGUAGCUAUGUAUGGACGGGAUAAGUGCUGAAAGCAUCUAAGCAUGAAGCCCCCCUCAAGAUGAGAUUUCCCAACUUCGGUUAUAAGAUCCCUCGAAGAUGACGAGGUUAAUAGGUUCGAGGUGGAAGCGUGGCGACACGUGGAGCUGACGAAUACUAAUCGAUCGAAGACUUAAUCAAUUU